GAGUUUGAUCCUGGCUCAGGAUGAACGCUGGCGGCGUGGAUAAGGCAUGCAAGUCGAGCGCCCCCACCUUUCUUCGAAAGAUGGGGGAGCGGCAAACGGGUUAGUAACACGUGGGUACCUGCCCUCCAGACAGGCAUAACCCCGAUAAAUCGGGGCUAAUACCCGAUGGACUCGCAAGAGUAAAGGCCCUGUACCAUCCGGUACAGGGCGCUGGAGGAGGGGCCUGCGGCCUAUCAGCUUGUUGGUAAGGUAAUGGCUUACCAAGGCAAUGACGGGUAGGGGGCGUGAGAGCGCGGUCCUCAACACUGGGACUGAGACACGGCCCAGACUCCUACGGGAGGCAGCAGCCGAGAAUCUUCGACAAUGGGGGAAACCCUGAUCGAGCGACGCCGCGUGUGGGAUGACGCCCUGCGGGGUGUAAACCACUUUUCUGUGGGACGAAUCGGCCCGACUUCGGUCGGACCACUGACGGUACCACAGGAAUAAGGGGCUGCUAACCUCGUGCCAGCAGCAGCGGUGAGACGAGGGCCCCAAGCGUUAUCCGGAAUCAUUGGGCGUAAAGGGUCCGUAGGCGGCAAGCAUUGUCGCAGGUUAAAGGCCUCGGCUCAACCGAGGAGAUGCUUGCGAAACGUGCUUGCUAGAGGACGUGAGAGGCUGACGGAACUCACGGUGUAGGGGUGAAAUCCGUUGAUAUCGUGGGGAACACCGAAAGCGAAGGCAGUCAGCUGGCGCGUUCCUGACGCUGAGGGACGAAAGUGUGGGUAGCGAAUGGGAUUAGAUACCCCAGUAGUCCACACUGUAAACGCUGGACACUGGCUAUGUGGAGUAUCGACCCUCCAUGUGGCGAAGCUAACGCGUUAAGUGUCCCGCCUGGGAAGUACGGCCGCAAGGCUAAAACUCAAAGGAAUAGACGGGGACUCGCACAAGCGGUGGAGCGUCUGGUUCAAUUCGACAAUAAGCGAGGAACCUUACCAGGGCUUGACAUCCUGUCGACCGCUUCCUGAAAGGGAAGCCCCCCUGAUUUUUAUCGGGGCGGCAGGACAGGUGCUGCAUGGUUGUCGUCAGCUCGUGCCUUGAGGUGUUCCGUUAAGUCGGGUAACGAGCGCAACCCUUGUCGUAUGUUACAUGUGUCAUACGAGACUGCCUCGGCAACGAGGAGGAAGGUGGGGAUGACGUCAAAUCAGCAUGGCCCUCUGAUGCCCUGGGCGACACAGGCGCUACAAUGGUCGGUACAAUGGGUCGCGAAACCGCGAGGUGGAGCUAAUCCCACCAAAGCCGGCCUCAGUUCGGAUUGGAGUCUGCAACUCGACUCCAUGAAGUCGGAAUCGCUAGUAAUCGCGUAUCAGCCAUGGCGCGGUGAAUACGUUCCCGAGUCUUGUACUCACCGCCCGUCAAGUCAAGGAAGCUGGCAAUACCCGAAUGUCCACAGUAGUGGGCAGAAGGUAGGGUCAGUAACAGGGACUAAGUCGUAACAAGGUAACCGUA
rnacentral:rRNA from 1 species